rnacentral:rRNA from 1 species
CCUACGGGUGGCUGCAGUAAGGAAUAUUGGGCAAUGGAGGCAACUCUGACCCAGCCAUGCCGCGUGAAGGAUGACGGCCCUAUGGGUUGUAAACUUCUUUUAUACGGGAAUAAACCCGGGUACGUGUACCCGGCUGAAUGUACCGUAAGAAUAAGGAUCGGCUAACUCCGUGCCAGCAGCCGCGGUAAUACGGAGGAUCCAAGCGUUAUCGGGUUUCAUUGGGGCGUAGGGGUACGUAGGCGGAUUUGUAGAAAUCCGACAGCUUAACUGUAGAACGGCCGUUGAUACUGCAAGUCUUGAGUACAUUUGAUGUGGGCGGAAUGUGUCAUGUAGCGGUGAAAUGCUUAGAUAUGACACGGAACACCAAUUGCGAAGGCAGCUCACAAAACUGUAACUGACGCUGAGGCACGACAGCGUGGGGAUCAAACAGGAUUAGAUACCCGAGUAGUC